rnacentral:rRNA from 1 species
AUUGAACGCUGGCGGCAGGCCUAACACAUGCAAGUCGAGCGGAUGAAGGGAGCUUGCUCCUGGAUUCAGCGGCGGACGGGUGAGUAAUGCCUAGGAAUCUGCCUGGUAGUGGGGGAUAACGUCCGGAAACGGGCGCUAAUACCGCAUACGUCCUGAGGGAGAAAGUGGGGGAUCUUCGGACCUCACGCUAUCAGAUGAGCCUAGGUCGGAUUAGCUAGUUGGUGGGGUAAAGGCCUACCAAGGCGGGGAUCCGUAACUGGUCUGAGAGGAUGAUCAGUCACUGAGAACGUGAAACGCGACCCUGACUCUUAGGGACGGCCCAGGUGGGAAAGGUAGGCAACGGGGGGAAAGCUUGAACAAGCCGGGCCAGGGGGGUGAAGAGGUGCUUCGAGUGGUAAGGCACUUUACGUGGGGGGAACGGCCGGUAGUUUAGAACCUGGCUGUUUGACGUUACCAACAGAAUAAGCACCGGCUAACUUCGUG